rnacentral:lncRNA from 1 species
UUUUUUUUCUUUAUGCACCAUUUAGUCCGUCACGGAUGAAUCUUGUUGUUGUGUCGUGCAUGUCUUUUGGUUUGAUCCACUUGUCAGUCGGAUGUGAUCAACAUUACACGUACAUUAAAAAAAAGACCAAAACUUAGAGAGAGCGCGUGAUGGCGCGUGAAGGAAAAUUUCAAGUCUGUAGCGCGGGGCGUCAAAUUUUUUUAGCCAGAGAGAAAAGGGAAAAAAAUCCCACGAGAGAGAGAGGGCGCCCAGCCGCCCACCUACCUCCAGCUUUAC